GGACAUUCAACUUGCAUAACAAUCUCGCAGGGCUCUUUGUAGCACCUCUCUCCCUAUUUGAAAGAUUAGGAAAUGAGGCAUGUGGAGAGGGGAAGUGGCUUUGCCAAAGUCACCAGAUUAAGAAGUGUGUCUCUGUGACUGCAUCAUCAUCAUCAUCGACUCUCCGUGUUCGGGAUGCCCAAAUGUUUCCAGCAGGAAAAUGAAGAGCAUUCAGAGAGAAGGCAAGACUAAAAUAACUCGGAGGGAUUUCUCAGAACAUUCAGGAUAGCCCAGUCGCCUCCAUCCCUUGAGGGAAAGAGCUAAGACAAAAUUUGAAGCAUGCAGGAACACGGCCAUCUGACUCAAGGCAGAUCAUAAGUUUUCCCUCUGUGCCCUCCGUGGGAGACGCUGUGUGAACUGGGCACUGUCCACCUGUUUCAACACCCAUUCCCAUCCUUUAUUGAUGGUGAGACCACUCCUACCUGGCCUUGCUACUAUGUA
rnacentral:lncRNA from 1 species